rnacentral:rRNA from 1 species
AUGAACGCUGGCGGCGUGCUUAAUACAUGCAAGUCGAACGAAGCUCCUUAUCUUCGGACGAGGAGUCUUAGUGGCGAACGGGUGCGUAACGCGUUGGUAACCUGCCCCAAAGAGGGGGAUAACAGUUCGAAAGGACUGAUAAUACCUCAUGUGGUUGUCGGUUUUAGAAUCUGAUAACUAAACGGAUUUAUUCGCUUCGGGAGGGGCCUGCGUCCCAUCAGCUAGUUGGUAGGGUAAUGGCCUACCAAGGCUAUGACGGGUAGGGGACCUGAGAGGGUGGCCCCGCACAAUGGAACUGAAACACGGUCCAUACACCUACGGGUGGCAGCAGUAGGGAAUAUUGGUAAUGUGCGAAAGCGCGAACCAGCAACGCCGCGUGCACGAUGAAGGCCUUCGGGUCGUAAAGUGCUUUUAGAGAGGAUGAGGAAGGACAGUACUCUCUGAAUAAGCCUCGGCUAACUACGU